rnacentral:tRNA from 1 species
GCUGAUGUGGCGCAGUGGUCGCGCAAUUGAUUCGUAAUCAAUAGGCCAUGGGUUCAAAUCCCAUCAUCAGCUCCA